rnacentral:miRNA from 1 species
CGCGCGUGCUAGGACCCGA